UGGCGAACGGGUGAGUAACGCGUGAGGAACCUGCCUCAAAGAGGGGGACAACAGUUGGAAACGACUGCUAAUACCGCAUAAGCCCACGGGUCGGCAUCGACCUGAGGGAAAAGGAGCAAUCCGCUUUGAGAUGGCCUCGCGUCCGAUUAGCUAGUUGGGGAGGUAACGGCCCACCAAGGCGACGAUCGGUAGCCGGACUGAGAGGUUGAACGGCCACAUUGGGACUGAGACACGGCCCAG
rnacentral:rRNA from 1 species